AAGAGAGCAGGAUGGCUGGGACGAGCAAGCAGCCUUUCCCUGGAAUAACUGGCACUCACCGUGAUCAACUAAUUCAAUAAAAUUUAUGAACUACAAAAGUUUCCAUUUUACAGAUUUCUAUGUUGUGAGAGAAUAUAUUUACGUGUAUACUCAUGAAAAGCAGCAGCCAUAACUAGUCCUUGGGUGUAUGAGGUUAAAAUUUCGCAACAAUUUUGAAUGUGAUCAGAAAUGGCACCUUUCUUUCUAAAAGAUGUCAAACGUGGAAAUAGAAUCCUGGAACAACUCAACAGGUCCCUGUAUUAUUUAAGAAAUACUGGAAAUCCCUGAACAUCUUCACAUCAGCUCACUGCUUCUCUGGAAACUAGCUUGUACAAAAAAUGCACAAAAAAAGCAAGUUCCUUCCCUGAAACUAGCUUGCUUGAGAGAUACACAACACAUCUGGGUGUUUACACUACUCCAGGUCUCUGCAUCAUUGCUUGAUCUAAACCAGACCUUGGGUAAGAAGAGGAAUGCUUUUUUGAUAAGAGGAGAUUUACAGAGUUUCCUCCGUCUGUGAAGAGUAAAGCCAGGCUGAAAGAAAUGACAGAGUGAGUAGACAGAUUCCAGGAGAAGACAAGUAGCUGCUGCAAGAGGCAAAUGCCUCAACAGCAACCUGCCAAAACUUUUCCACACAUUCUGAUUCCACAGAAUAAUCUAUGAUGAAUGUUUUAACUCAGUAUACUUCAAAACCAGAACCCUCCAUAUGAGAUCUGUGCCUCUCUGAAUCAGCUUCUUCACUGAAUCUCCUGUGUUCGGGACACACUUUGGGCACCACUCUACCCUUGCCUACCUGAAUGUCAACAGAGUCCCUAGACGGGAAGUGAGAAUAGAUGGGACAAGAGACACUAGAGAUGGAGACAAGACAGGAUUCUCAUCAAGACUUGUUUAUUCAAGAG